rnacentral:rRNA from 1 species
UACGUAGGGGGCAAGCGUUGUCCGGAAUCAUUGGGCGUAAAGCGCGUGUAGGCGGUUCAGUAAGUCUGCUGUGAAAGUCCAGGGCUCAACCCUGGGAUGCCGGUGGAUACUGCUGGACUAGAGUGCGGAAGAGGCGAGUGGAAUUCCCGGUGUAGCGGUGAAAUGCGCAGAUAUCGGGAGGAACACCAGUGGCGAAGGCGGAGACCUGGGCCGAUACUGACGCUGAGGUGACGAAAGCGUGGGGAGCAAACAGG